CGAUUACUGAUCUAUCGUUGGAGAGCAGAAGCGGAAGCGGAAGCGGAAGAGGCGACGAGGAGGGUUCUGAUUUCUGAAGAGCGAAGAACCCGAUCUUCGAUGCGGCCGUGCGGGGGCUUCCGAUGGCGUUCGGCGAGCGGCUGGAAGAGAAGAGGGGCAGGGAAAGGGAUGGGUGCUGGGGUCGGUGGCAGCGCCGCAGGGGUGAGAAGAAAAAACUUUUUGACGAGCGAUUCUUUUUUUUUUUUUUUUUGGUUUUUUUUUUGGGAGGCCGGGGGGCGAAGGUUACGGAGUCGAACGAGUAAUAAAGAUUUUUUUUUUAGAAAAAGGUAGCAUG
rnacentral:lncRNA from 1 species